rnacentral:rRNA from 1 species
CCAAUAGCGUAUAUUAAAGUUGUUGCAGUUAAAAAGCUCGUAGUUGAAUUUCGGGGUCAGUAGGCUGGUCGUGCCACGGGUAUGUACUGGUCUUACUGAUUCCUCCUUCCUGAUGAACCGUAAUGCCAUUAAUUUGGUGUUGCGGGGAAUCUGGACUGUUACUUGGAAAAAAUUAGAGUGUUUAAAGCAGGCUAACGCUUGAAUACAUUAGCAUGGAAUAAUGAAAUAGGACGAUCGAUCCUAUUUUGUUGGUUUCUAGGAUGGACGUAAUGAUUAAUAGGGAUAGUUGGGGGCAUUAGUAUUCAAUUGUCAGAGGUGAAAUUCUUGGAUUUAUUGAAGACUAACUACUGCGAAAGCAUUUGCCAAGGAUGUUUUCAUUAAUCAAGAACGAAAGUUAGGGGAUCGAAGACGAUCAGAUACCGUCGUAGUCUUAACCAUAAACUAUGCCGACUAGGGAUCGGAUGAUGUUAAUUUUUUAAUGACUCAUUCGGCGCCUUACG